rnacentral:rRNA from 1 species
AUUGAACGCUGGCGGCAUGCCUUACACAUGCAAGUCGAACGGCAGCACGGGAGCAAUCCUGGUGGCGAGUGGCGAACGGGUGAGUAAAGUAUCGGAACGUGCCCAGUCGUGGGGGAUAACGUAGCGAAAGUUACGCUAAUACCGCAUACGAUCUAUGGAUGAAAGCGGGGGAUCGCAAGACCUCGCGCGAUUGGAGCGGCCGAUAUCAGAUUAGGUAGUUGGUGGGGUAAAGGCUCACCAAGCCGACGAUCUGUAGCUGGUCUGAGAGGACGACCAGCCACACUGGGCCUGGGACACGGCCCAGACUCCUACGGGAGGCAGCAGUGGGGAAUUUUGGACAAUGGACGAAAGCCUGAUCCAGCCAUGCCGCGUGCAGGAUGAAGGCCUUCGGGUUGUAAACUGCUUUUGUACGGAACGAAAAGGUUUGGGCUAAUAAGCUGAGCUCAUGACGGUACCGUAAGAAUAAGCACCGGCUAACUACGUGCCAGCCGCCGCGGUAA